UCUUUAUCUUUCCGUUGUCAUAUACCUUCUUCUAUGAAAACGACAGCAAGCCCCCAUCCUCGUUUUUUCUUCUGAAACAUAUCCUUCACCCAGCCCACCACCCUUCUCCUACCCCUCUGCAGACCCCUGCGCCCACCGGAAUCCUCGCAGAGGGGGAGGAGGAGCACCCCUCCAACCUCCAUUCUCUCCGAUCUCUCACCUGCAUUUUUCUGUAGCUUAUAUGAACUCAAGCGAGCAAGAGGGAGGAGAAAAAUAUGGGAACGGUGCAGAAGAGAGAAAAGAUCCAGAAAUGAAAUUGGUUUUCCUUCCUUAGAAAGUGAUUCCCUAAACCCCCUUAUUUGUUACAUAUAUAGGCCAUGGAUGGGUCCAUCGGCAUGUUAGGUCAUGUUGCGGCAUUUCUGACAUUGUUGAUUGUGUUUCCUCAUGCUCAUAGGAGCAGCUGUUGACUUGAUGCUCCAGUGUAGUUGGAGUUUCAACUCGGUAAUCUUUUUGUGGUUGUGGUGGGUGUUCUUGUUGAAAGUUUUUACUGGUUGUGGCCUUGUUUUUCAAAGCUAUCCUGUUUUUCCUCUCUAUCUGAGGCUAUAAUUUUCACCUUCCUGGUGGUUAUCUUCUAUCAUUUUGAUGAAGUCUCAAAAUUUUGGAUUCUGUGAUGUGCAGUGAUUGGUCUCGUUCGUAGAGACUUUCGCUGGGAACCCCUCGGCUUUUCCUAUGGUUCUCCUCUUUUGGCCACCGGGGGUGGCCUUGAGUCAAGCUGUUGGUUUGCAGCCGGCUGGUCGGCAGUGCUGUGUCAAUUCUAAUCCAAGAUGGGUAUUUUUUAAACCAGUCUGAAAUGGGCUGGACUUUGUCACUUUUGCAAUUUGGUUUUCUCUUGAAAGGUUCUUUGUUGAUUGAUUUUGGGUAGUUGUUGAACUGGAGGACUGUGAUUUGUUGGGAGAUGGUUUUCUGGUGCUAGCUUUCCCCUUGCCAAAGUUAGUAUUGGUGCAUCUCCAAUGAUGGUAGAUGGGAUUGUGAAGAAAAUCCUUGCUUUUCUUGUUUGGUGGUGGAAUGGCUUAUUGUCUUUGCCAUCUCUGUAGAUGAGGCACUGAGAGUGGUUGACUGGAUGCGAUGUAGAAGGUGUUCUGAAUUAAAGGAUUUCUUUGUUGAUUCUCAGUGGACUUACUCAUAUGGCCUUGGAAUAUACUUUCGUACUUUUGAGAUGUGCUGUCAUCAUUUUUCUAAGCACAGACCUGAUUUGUUGUUUCUGUUUGAGACUAAAUAUGUCCCUUGCUUGGAAGUUGUUACCUAAACCUCUGUGUUCCCGUGUUCAUCCCUUACCUUUAUCCUUGGCUCCUUUGUGGUAAAUAUCAUUUCUGUUUUUAUUGGUUCUAAAUUUGUUGCCAUCACUAUCUAUGAUCCACAUUAUGAUAUACCAUGGUGUAUUAUUGUGUUAGAUGCUCCUCUCAAUCCUUUCCUUCUUGGGGUGAGUCCUAAUCGCCGCCCUCCCCUGUACGAACCAUCUUCCUUCCAACCAUGCCUGAUCGAAGAUCCAUUUGAGUGUAAUUACAGUGGAUUUGAAAAGGUAGCAAAUUGAAGCUUCCAUUUUGAUCGAUAAGCUUUGUGUCGUGUCUCCAUGGAGACAUGGAGUGUUGGGGCUUUUCAUAAUCAAUAUAGCCUGAAAGACUCGAGAGCCCAUCAUUCCCUUCUGUCAAGCAACAAUUCUGCUUUGUCGUAGCCUUAUUUAGAAGAUGACAAAGAGAGAGAGAGCAUAUUGAUAACAGAGAUUUGCAGGUUCUUAUUACUUCUGUGAUGGACCAAGGCUUUCUCGGAGGCCAUACUUGUGGGUUGCAACUCGUGUCUUUCGUUGCUCUAUCUCUCUCUCUCUGAUCUUUGUUUCAUUUAAAGCUUAUGUCUUUGAUGGUUCAAGACUUCAAGCAGUAGUGGAAGUGAUGGAGAAGGUUAUCAGAGAGUAAUGGUAAUGGCGUUGUUCAUUUGCUCUCUGGCUUUGGUUGUUUCUCACGCAGUCGUUGCACCUACAGGACCAGUUGCUGGGAAAGACGAAGGAUGCUUGUUUACAAAAUUGACACUGAAGCGUAACUGUUAAGUGACUUCUCUAAACAUCAAAUGGAUAGAAAGAAAAGUUUUGUAGUUAAGGGUUGAAAAGUCUAUUUACUACCCUUUGGUAUUUAAGAGUUUUCAAUCCAUGACAUCAUCUCCAAACCAGUGGCUGAUUAACCGACAAGUGCAAGGGUGGUUCAAAUAAAAUUUUCAAUUUUUUGAGUUAUCAA